UUGCUUGAUUUGCCACUUCCCUGUUUUCUUUCUAAUUCACUUUUUACUUCUGUUUGCCAUCAGAAAGGACCAAUAGCGAACACAAUUAUGAAUUCAUGCAACGAUGAAAGACAGAGUGCAUGCAUGCACGACGUAAGGAAGGGAGGGCAUCAAUCGAACGGAUCUUAUGAACGUGCAAUUCAUUGACUUUUAAGAAAAGGAUCAUUCCGAAAGAAGAAAAAAGA
rnacentral:ribozyme from 1 species